rnacentral:rRNA from 1 species
AGAGUUUGAUCAUGGCUCAGAGCGAACGCUGGCGGCAGGCUUAACACAUGCAAGUCGAGCGGGCGUAGCAAUACGUCAGCGGCAGACGGGUGAGUAACGCGUGGGAACAUACCUUUUGGUUCGGAACAACACAGGGAAACUUGUGCUAAUACCGGAUAAGCCCUUACGGGGAAAGAUUUAUCGCCGAAAGAUUGGCCCGCGUCUGAUUAGCUUGUUGGUGAGGUAACGGCUCACCAAGGCGACGAUCAGUAGCUGGUCUGAGAGGAUGAUCAGCCACAUUGGGACUGAGACACGGCCCAAACUCCUACGGGAGGCAGCAGUGGGGAAUAUUGGACAAUGGGCGAAAGCCUGAUCCAGCCAUGCCGCGUGAGUGAUGAAGGCCCUAGGGUUGUAAAGCUCUUUUGUCCGGGAAGAUAAUGACUGUACCGGAAGAAUAAGCCCCGGCUAACUUCGUGCCAGCAGCCGCGGUAAUACGAAGGGGGCUAGCGUUGCUCGGAAUCACUGGGCGUAAAGGGUGCGUAGGUGGAUUUUUAAGUCAGAGGUGAAAUCCUGGAGCUCAACUCCAGAACUGCCUUUGAUACUGAGAGUCUUGAGUUCGGGAGAGGUGAGUGGAACUGCGAGUGUAGAGGUGAAAUUCGUAGAUAUUCGCAAGAACACCAGUGGCGAAGGCGGCUCACUGGCCCGAUACUGACACUGAGGCACGAAAGCGUGGGGAGCAAACAGGAUUAGAUACCCUGGUAGUCCA